rnacentral:rRNA from 1 species
GUCUUUUUGGUAUUAAUUUAAAGUCUAAUCUGCCCACUGAUUAAAAAUUAAAGGGCUGCAGUAUAUUGACUGUACAAAGGUAGCAUAAUAAUUAGUCUUUUAAUUGAAGACUUGUAUGAAUGAUUUGAUGAGAUAUAAACUGUCUCUUUUUUAUAAUUAGAAUUUAAUUUUUUAGUAAAAAAGCUAAAAUUAUUUUAAAAGACGAGAAGACCCUAUAGAGUUUUAUAAUUAUUAUUAAUUAUAGUUAUAAAUAGAUAUAUAAAUUUAAAAUUGAUUAAUUAGAUUAUUUUAUUGGGGUGAUAGAAAAAUUUAAUAAACUUUUUUUAAAAAUUUAACAUUAAUUAAUGAUUAACUGAUCCAUAAUUUAUGAUUAAAAGAAAAAAUUACCUUAGGGAUAACAGCGUAAUUUUUUUUUUUAGUUCUUAUAAGAAAAAAAGUUUGCGACCUCGAUGUUGGAUUAAGAUAAAAUUUAAAUGUAGAAGUUUAAAGUUUUGAUCUGUUCGAUCAUUAAAAUCUUACA